rnacentral:rRNA from 1 species
CCUACGGGUGGCAGCAGUGAGGAAUAUUGGUCAAUGGGCGCGAGCCUGAACCAGCCAAGUAGCGUGAAGGAUGACUGCCCUACGGGUUGUAAACUUCUUUUAUAAAGGCAUAAAGUGAGGCACGUGUGCCUUUUUGUAUGUACUUUAUGAAUAAGGAUCGGCUAACUCCGUGCCAGCAGCCGCGGUAAUACGGAGGAUCCGAGCGUUAUCCGGAUUUAUUGGGUUUAAAGGGUGCGUAGGCGGGCCUUCAGGCCGGCGGUAAAAUUGCGGGGCUCAACCCCGCCGAGCCGUCGGAACCGGGGGCCUUGAGUACCGGAGAAGUACGCGGAAUGCGUGGUGUAGCGGUGAAAUGCAUAGAUAUCACGCAGAACCCCGAUUGCGAAGGCAGCGUACCGGCCGGUCACUGACGCGGAGGCACGAAAGCGCGGGUAUCGAACAGGAUUAGAUACCCCAGUAGUC